AGACCCAAAGGCUGUAAACUGCACAUCCAGCGGCUGCCCUGCGCUCGGCUGGGCGGUAUUUUGGCCAGCGGCACAUCUCUGCCUUCUCUCCGGUGUUUCGGCAGCUGGAGGAGAAGAAAGGAGGGAUGCGCGCACGGUCCUUGAACGCCACAAAGAAGUUAACGAGGCUGACAGAAAGAGGACCCUCCUGUUGAUUCAGCUCUUCUUUUUACCCCAUCACAUUUCAGGAGUAUUUCAGGAACACACUUCUCACCUCUAUAUGGCAAAGUUCCUGGCUGAAUUACUGGGAUGCACACUUCCAGACAAGGGCACCCCACCUUUGUUCGAGUGUCGGAGCCAGCCUCAUCUCAGACUGAGGCCUUCCUCCAAACAGCGGUCCACAAUUUUUGGGACAUUAACCAGUGAGCGAGCACUGUUUGACAACAGACUGGCCUCUACCUUUUCUUCAGUCUGGUAAUGAACUGAAGCAGGUGGGUGGGCGGUCCAGUGAUUCACAGGUACAAUAUGCAUUGGAGAGCCUGAUCCUGAAAGACUGUUUAAACCCUUUGAGAGUGUGAAGAGACAAAACUGGUCCAAAGCCAGAAAGGGAUUAUUGAUGUUUGGCAUUGGAUGGAAUGAGUCCAAGUGUUUCAGCUGCUCUGACGAACAAAGUCUGGCACUUCAGUCUUCAUUAAGAUUACUAUUGUUAAUGUGGUGAAAGAUGUGAACCUGAAAGCCUCUGCUGAUACAAGUUCAACAGAUAAAGACAUCUUUUCUCAG